GUUGAAGUGUUGUUUAUUUCAAUACAAAUUAAUACGGCCUCGGCCGUAUUUUCUAUUGAUAAAGUGUUGUGCGCAUUGAAAUAAAGCAGCGUAUUCAACAUACACAACAUACAGGCAGUAAGGCAGGUGCUUGAAGUGACGAUUUUUUUUUAUUAUUUAUAAUAAAAAAUAUGUGUGGUUUUGUGGCAAGAUUGUGGUUAGCGAUGUGUGGAACUGUGCCUUAAGUUUCAAUAAAGUGUUAAAAUAUCAAACGAG